UACAGAGGGGGCCAGCGUUAUUCGGAAUCAUUGGGCGUAAAGGGCGCGUAGGUGGCCCGGUCAGUCUUUGGUGAAAGCGCGGGGCUCAACCCUGCGUCGGCCAGGGAUACUGCCGCGGCUCGAGCACUGUAGAGGCAGGCGGAAUUCCGGGUGUAGCGGUGGAAUGCGUAGAGAUCCGGAAGAACACCGGUGGCGAAGGCGGCCUGCUGGGCAGUUUAGCUGACACUGAGGCGCGACAGCGUGGGGAGCAAACAGG
rnacentral:rRNA from 1 species